GAUGAACGCUGGCGGUAUGCUUAACACAUGCAAGUCGAACGGUACCUUCGGGUAUAUUGGCGUACGGGUGAGUAACGCGUGAGAAUCUAUCUUCAUGGCGGGGACACCUGUUAGAAUUGACUGCUAAUACCGGAUGUGCCCAAAUGUCAAAGAAUUUUUUACGGAACAGGAGCUCGAGUCAAAUUAGCUAGUAGGUGGUGGAAGAGGCUACCUACGCUUCGCUCUGUAGCUGGGAUGAGAGGACGAGCAGCCACACUGGAGGUGAGACACGGUCCAGAAUCCUACGGAAGGCAGCAGUGGGGAAUUGUCCGAAAUGGGGGAAAGGCUGAAGGAGCAAUACCGGGUGAGGGACGAAGGUUGUUGGGUAGUAAACCUCUUUUCUCAGGGAAGAUUCAGACGGUACUUGAGGAAUAAGCAACGGCUAACUAUGUG
rnacentral:rRNA from 1 species